UUCCUUAACAAUAUAUGAUCAACCAGCAUGCCCUCGAUGUUUGCAGUAAUUGUAGUAAUCAGUCAUACCUUCAUAUUGAAUUGCUUGCCAUCUUCCUUCUCCAUGCUCAUCAUCAUCAUCAUACCCCAUCCAGACAUACUGAGGUCUUGCUUUGGUUAGAUCAAUUUACAACUUAACCUUAGCCAUACUACCCCUACUUUUCUUAAAAAUUGCUAGAUUAAAGAAUAGAACAU
rnacentral:lncRNA from 1 species